CCUACGGGAGGCAGCAGUAGGGAAUCUUCCGCAAUGGACGAAAGUCUGACGGAGCAACGCCGCGUGAGUGAAGAAGGUCUUCGGAUCGUAAAACUCUGUUGUUAGAGAAGAACGUUGUGUAGAGUGGAAAAUUACACAAGUGACGGUAUCUAACCAGAAAGGGACGGCUAACUACGUGCCAGCAGCCGCGGUAAU
rnacentral:rRNA from 1 species